ACGUGGGAGGGGCGCAGGUCCCGGGGACCUUGCGAGGCUGGAAAGUGGAAGAAGAUGGGGGCUCGAGGUUCGAACCGACCCUUCCCUAGCAAGAGUGAGGGGAUAGACGGGACGUGCCAGGUUUGCGGCGACCCCACCCUCCCGGCCGUGCUGGCCCUCUCCCCAAUGCCCCUAACCUCCCAGGAUUGAAACUCGAGGACCUGCCUCGCCGAGUGGGAGGAACCAACUCUUUCCAUACCUGUCAGCGGGAGCCGAGAGCCCAGCCCGGCCGCCUGGAGCGCAGAGAAGCUAGCCGGGCCCCAAGCGGCCCUGCUCGGGGCAGCACCGGAGCGGGCCGGGCAGCAGUGGGCGCUCGCGUUCCUCCUCUGCCCCACGCGCUCUCCCUCAGGACCCGGCCUCCUCGGUCCCCUCCUCCUGCUCCUGCUCCUCCUCCUGCUCCUCCCCUUCGCGGGUCUGAUCUCCUAGCCUCGCGUCUGCAAAGUCCCCGGCGCGCGGGCAGCCACGAACCGCCGCCACUGCCGGGUCGCAGUGGGUGCCGGCGCCCGUGCCUCACCGCCUGCGCAGGGUCGUGCCGAAGCUCACUCCGCCGGCCGCCGGAGCUCCACGGCGCUGCCCAUGGCCCAGCCCGAGAGCCGACUUCGGGCCCCGGACCGGCUAGAAGGUGGCGCGGCUCAGAGUCAGGAGGUUCGCUCCUGCCCAACGCUUCUCCCUAGGAUCGUGCGGGGCAGCAGGACCGCAAAGCGCAGCGAAGCCCAGUAAUCGGAGGCCUGCGACACCCAUGUGUCACUGAUCUGGAAGCAUCCCCCUGCGGCAGCGCUUCAUGAUCCAGUGGCGCCCGGCCCAGUG
ensembl:lncRNA